UUUUCUGACCGUGAUUUUGGGGAUGUCACAGUUGGUAUCAAAGCAUUAGUUUAAGCGAACUAGGAAUUUGUAGGAUUUCUAGACUUAAACUUAGAAUGUUAAGCGAUGAUUGUGAGGUGUGAGCACUAGCUUAUUUUAGGAAUUGUGCCUAAAAUGAUUUUAUGUGCUAAAUGCUUUAUGCAUGAUAUGCUGUUAUUUGUUCGGAUCUAUGGUCUGUUGCCGACCGGAUCUGGAAACCUUAUGUGUUUAGGAUUCUAAAUGUACGAGUACGAUAUUAGUACUAGCAUGUAAACAUUUCGGAGUGAUAAGGACGAUUUAAACAUUUAUCCUAAAUAAAGAUCUAAAUUCACCUUAUUCGGUGUAUAGAUCAAGAUGGCAAGGACCCGUAGCGGAAACGUAAACGCAAAUGGAGAUAGGAACCAACCCCCAGUAGUUCAGCAAAUACCUGUUGUAGAAGAAGUUGCACCUGAGCUAGUCACCAUCGCUAGAGUUCAAGCCAUGAUUCGGGCUAUGCUAGCGGAACUAAGGGAAGAAAUGAGAUAGAUGUUCCACAAAAAUAGGGACGAACCUACCAUACAUGUUGAAUUGACGGAGCCAAUUCUAGAACAAUCCGAGGAAGGGACUUACAGCCGUCAAGUCAGUCAAGUAGGGUCUCAAGGUGAGCAAAGGGAUGGCCCAGAAGGGAGAAACAACAAGGAUGGGCGGAUGUACAAGAAUUUCUUGGGUGCGAAACCACCAAGUCUCUCAGGAAGCCCAAAGCCUGUUGAGAUUAUGGACUGGAUCUCCGAGAUGGAGAUGGUGUUUGAGCUACGACUGCAGCGAGAAGCAGAAGACUGUCUUCGCUGUGAGACAAUCGAAAUUUGGAGUAAUGUGCUGGUGGAAGCUACUAGCUGAUUCAAUGCCCAAAGGUAAAGCAAGCUAGAUGCCGUGGGAGGAUUUUCUAGUACAGUUGAAGAUGCAAUACUGCUCUGAGCAGGAUCUUCUAGAGAUCAACAAUGAAUUCCAGAAUAUGAAGAAGGGAAGAAUGAGCGUUACUGAAUACGCUGCAAGCUUUACUGAGAAAAUGAAGCUUGUUCCUCACCUCGUCCCAACUGAACUCUCCAAGGUUAACAAAUUGGCCCUUGGAUUACCAGCGGACUUCAGUCCAAUGGUCAAGCAAACUACCACUCUGAAAGCCGUCAUCUGGGCUGCUAAGAAUGUUGAGACCCAGAUACGAGAGAAGGAUCUGGAGAGAGCGGAGGUGGGAGAGAAAAGGAAAUUUUACAGAUCCUCGAGGUCUGGUAAGAAGGGUAAAUUCUUGAAGUCUGGAUCAAAAGGAGGAGGAACCGAAGGAAAAUGGUGCAACAAAUGCAAGAAGAAGCACUCUGGGAAGUGUGACGGAGGGGUCACUUGUUUCAAAUGCAUAAAGCUUGGGCACUAUGCCAACGAAUGCACGUUCAGAAGGUCUGUUAUGGGUGUAAUGAAGAAGGGCACGUUUUGAAGGACUGUCUGAAGAAGAAGGAGGGAGGAAGACCCAACAUACCACCGAAGCCGAAGGCGAGAGCCUUCCAGAUGACGCUCGAGGAUGCAAAGGAGGCAACAGACGUCGCUUCAGGUACCUUUCUUGUAAAUGGUUUGCCUGCAAAUAUACUAUUUGAUUCCGGAGCCAACUACUCCUUUGUGUCGCAUAAAUUUGGCGGGAAAUGAGCAUUGCAUGUAGAAAAACUUGAUAAUGCCCUGAUUGUAGAAGUUGCCAGUGGCAAAUUCGUACUUGUUAGUAAUCGUAUUAGGAACAUCGUCAUCGACCUGAACGGAAACGAAUUCCAUGAAGAGCUAUUACCCAUAGAGUUAAACGGUUUCGACAUCGUUUUGGGUAUGGAUUGACUUAGCGCCAACGAUGCUGAGAUUUAAUGCCGAAAGAGGAUAGUAAGAGUAAACCCACUCGGAAAGGAAUCAUUUAUGGUGUACGGGGACAAACACAGAGUGAAUUCUGGAAUCAUCACCCUGAUGAAAGCCAUAAAAUGUUUGUCCGAAGGAUUUGCAUCAUACUUGGCAUUCAUAAUCGAUGCUAUGAAAGAAAAGAAAGAGGUGUAGAAUAUACCAGUUGUAUGUGAUUAUCCGGAAGUCUUUCCUGAAGAUCUUCCCGAAUUACCACCUGAUAGGCAAGUGGAGUUUCGUAUAGACUUGUUACCAUGAACGACACCGAUAGCAAAAGCACCAUACCGACCAGCACCGACGGAGAUGAAGGAGCUCAUGACGCAACUUCAGGAGCUGUUGGACAACGGUUUCAUUCGACCUAGUUCAUCACCCUGGAGAGCUUCAGUGUUAUUUGUGAAGAAGCAGGACGGAAGUAUGAGAAUGUGUAUAGACUACCGAGAGCUGAAUAAGACAAUGGUGAAGAACAAGUAUCCAUUUUCGAGGAUUGAUGACCUAUUCGAUCAGCUGCAAGGUUCGUGCUACUUCUUAAAGAUCGAUCUUAGGUCAGGAUAUCAUCAGUUGAAGGUAAGAGAGCAGGAUAUUGAGAAGACUGCAUUUAGAACGAGAUAUGGACACUACGAGUUCUUGGUUAUGUUAUUCGGACUAACCAAUGCUCCAGUAGCAUUCAUGGAUUUGAUGAACAGGGUUUGUAAACCAUUCCUCGAUAAAUCUGUGAUAGUGUUCAUCGACGACAUUCUGAUCUACUCAAAAAGCCAAGAGGAGCAUGGCAAGCAUCUACGGGAAUUGUUGGAAGUAUUAAAGAAGGAGAAGCUUCACGCCAAGUUCUCUAAUUGCGACUUUUGGAUAUGAGAAGUCCAGUUCUUGGGUCACGUCGUUAACCAAGAAGAGAUAAUGGUUGAUCCCGCAAAGAUCGAGGUUGUAAUGAAGUGGGUAUGUCCGAAAAGUCCCACGGAGAUUCGAAGCUUUCUAGGAUUAUCCGGAUAUUACCGACGAUUUAUCCAAGGCUUUUCUUCGAUAGCAUCUCCAUUGACAGCUUUGACCCAUAAAGGAGCUACAUAUACGUGGAUUGAGGAACAUGAAGAAGCAUUUGAGAAGCUGAAGAAGAAGCUAUGUGAAGCACCGAUACUUUCUCUACCUGAUGGAGUUGAAGACUUCGUGGUUGGAUUCGGGUUGGGUUGUGUUCUAACCCAGAGAGAAAAGGUGAUAGCAUAUUCAUCUCAACAAAUGAAAGAACACGAAAAGAACUACCCUACUCACGAUUUGGAGUUGGUGGCGAUAGUAUUUGCUCUAAAGAUAUGGAGGCAUUAUCUCUAUGGCACGAAGUGCAAGUUAUUCACUGAUCAUAAGAGUCUCCAGUAUCUCUUUAAUCAGAAAGAAUUGAACAUGAGGCAACAACGCUGGCUAGAACUACUCAAGGACUAUGACUGUGAGAUACUUUACCACCCAGGUAAAGAAAAUGUUGUUAUUGAUGCUCUCAGUUGGAAAGUCAACCUUGAAAGGAAAAGGCCAAGAGCGUUGAGAAUUGAAGUCGUCUCGACGAUUGUGGAAAGCAUCAGAAAAGCUCAAGAAGAAGCUUCAGAGAAGAAUGACCGAAAAGAAGAAUGUUUGGGAAAAACGUUAGUGCUCGGUACAAACAGUCGAGGACUGAAGGUAUUCCAAGAUCGGAUUUGGGUACCUAAUACAGGAGGAAUAAGAGACCUUCUGAUGUAAGAAGCACACAAGACCAUGUAUUCGAUUCAUCCCGGUAGCACUAAAAUGUAUAGGGACCUAAAACCCUACUACUGGUGGCCGAAGAUGAAGCUCGAUGUUGCGAAAUAUGUGGUCGAGUGUGUGACAUGUGCGAGAGUUAAGGCACAACAUCAGAAACCGUAUGGGAGUUUAGAACCUUUACCUGUACCCAUGGGUAAAUGGGAAGGCAUCACCAUGUAUUUUGCGACUAAACUGCCCGGGACGAAGAACGGAUACGACAUGAUUUGGGUAGUCGUGGAUCGUUUCACCAAGAGUGCACACGUCAUAGCAGCCAACGAGAAGUGGUCUAUGGAUAAGCUCGCAAAUGCUUAUGUGAAGGAAAUUGUAAGACUUCACGGUGUUCCACUUACGAUUGUAUCAGAUCGUGAUAGUCAUUUCACGUCAAGGUUUUGGAGGAGUCUACAAGAGGAUUAGGUACAAAGUUGUGUUUGAGUACUGCUUACCAUCCGCAAACCGAUGGCCAGAGCGAAAAAACGAUUCAAACACUGGAAGAUAUGCUGAGAGCAUGUACCCUCAAGUUCCAACGAAACUGGGACGAGCACUUACCUCUGGUAGAAUUCUCCUACAACAACAGUUUUCACUCGAGCAUCAAGAUGACACCUUAUCAAGCCUUGUAUGGACAGAAGUGUCGUAUGCCGUCUUGUUGGCUUGAAGACGGAGAGAAGCAGUUUAUGGGCCCUGAGAUAGUCCAUGAGACUACUGAGAAGUUGAAGGUGAUUAGGGACAGAAUGUUAGCAGCUCAGGAUCGUCAGAAGAGCUAUGAUGACAAGAAAAGACGACCGAUGACCUUCGAAGUUGGGGAUUCGGUUUUGCUAAAAUUCUCACCGUGGAAGGGACUUAUACGAUUCGAAAAACUAAGAAAGUUGAGUCCAAGGUUCAUUGGACCGUUUAAAGUUCUUUAGAAGAUUGGGAACCAAGCUUACAAGCAGGAAUUGCCCAAAGAACUCGAUGGUAUUCAUAACACCUUCCAUGUGUGUUAUUUGAGGAAGUUCACGGGAGAAGUUCCUGACAUAAUUCCAAUCUCAGAGUUAAGGAUGGAUGAGAAUAAAAGGCUGAUCGAAGAGCCUGAGGCAAUUGUUGACCGUAAGACUAAGAAGUUACGACGCAAGAUGGUCGACUUAGUGCUAGUCCGAUGAUUCUUAUUUGCAUUUUAUAGCUUCGUAAAUAGAUAUAUAUUUUUUAAACAUCAAGCUGCCUCUAACUUCUAAGCAUUUUUUUCAUGAAGGAUAAAGCUAAUUUUCCAUGAGUUAUAGCCGGUUUCGGUUCCAGUUCCUACAUUCUAAGAACCGUCGGUUCCGGUUCCGGUUCCAGUUCCAGACAAAUAGGGUGGGUACCCGCUUUUGCUCACCCCUAAAUGUAAUAGUCUAGGUCAACUCUUGUAACUCUUUUUGAAGUAAUAAAAAUGAAAUAUUUGAGUAUUAUGUGAAUUAUGUGUAUUUAUGUGCUUAUUAUUUAAUUAUAAAUGUAUAAUUAAUAAAGAAUAAAAUAAGCGUCAAAAUUAAAGUGUGAGACAAGCCUGAUAUCUUUAUAUAAAGUUAUAGUGGUCGAAACAAGGAUUCCGGGGAUAUAAAGAACGCCGAAAUCCGAGUUAUAACGAAGAAGUUAUGACCCGUCGAAGUUUCGCGACAGAACCGGCACGAUACCUGAAAGCGUAAAUAGUGAAUUUACGAUAGAGUGAGAUUUAGUCUUAGCAAUCUAAAUGAAAGUCGUAGAAUACGUUAAACCGAGAGCGUCCAUAAAAAAAGAACGCCCAAAUCUGACUUCGUAUGAAGAAGUUAUGAUUUUUCGAAGUUUCGGGUUAGCAGUGUACAACCCGAAAUUCGAAUAUUAGAUCGAGCGGUCUUUAGCCAACACGACCUGAACGAGAAUCGAAGAUCUCGUUAAGAGUAGCGUAACAAGAAAAAGACGGGCGAAAACGGACAUCGGAUGAAGAAGUUAUGAGAAUUUAACGGACCAAUCUUGUCCUGGCCUGUUAAUAAUAUAACUUUUAAAAUAGAGUCAAAAUUAGCCGACGGAGUCUAAAUGAAAGUUGUAGAGUACGUUCCCACCUUCACGUGGAUAUAAAGACCGUCAAAAACGGAGCUCGUAUGUGGAAGAUACGAAUUUUUAAAGUUGGGACUCGAAAAUGCGAAACCUGGUGCGAGAUUGAUGAUGUGGCGUGAUCCCAGCGGUACCUUGCUCCCCACGGUCCUCGCUUCGGAUCUUCACACCUGUCCUCGCAUUACGCCUAACGUCCAAAGUCAGUACACCCCGUGUACCCUCGUCCUUAUCCGUCCAAGACCGAGUGCGAGCCAGCUGGAUCCGCCUGGCAAGCUUAUCCGAACUACGCCCCGCGUAGUGUUGCUGUAUCCCCAGCGUACGACCGAGGGCUCGCACCUAUAUAUAGGCUGUAAGGGUUGCCGAAGGAAAACACACAAAAACCCUUCUCUCUCUAAAAUCUUUCUCUCUCUAAGGUUCCAAACCACCCCUAAACCCUAGCAAAAAUCCCCUAGCACCCGAAGGAAGCCCCGAGGCUCCCGGAGUCCCGAGAAAAAGUGUUUCGGUUUCGAAACGCUGCUCCAAAUAAAGUUCCGGUUUUCUUUAAAAUCCGCUGUAAGUGAGCUACGCUUACGCAAUUUUUAAUAUAGCUUUAAAAUAAUUAUAAUAAUGUUAUUAGGUCUUUAAAAUAAUUAUUUGGGCUAUUAUUAUGAGUUAUAUUGAGUGUUAUUUAACGCUUAUAUAAUAAUAAUAAUAGCUACACUAUUAAUUAGUCGCGGUUGACGUUAGACUAAACCCUAAUGGUAUUGAUACUAGGUUUUAUCGAAGGAAAAUUGUUUUAAGAGUAUCGAAGCGUUGUCCGAGUGCUGAGUNGUGAGUGCAUAGUUACUUUCAGCUUACACAUAGAUAUGAAGUAUUUUAUAUAAAUUACGUGCUAUGUGUGCAUAUUAUCUGAAUACUUGCUAUCUAUGCUGGAUGAACGUUGUUAUACAUGUUUUCAAUGAUUUAAACUGUAUAUGUAUUUUAUAUCUACGAAAAUGUUGGGGUAAAACAUGGGUAGAUGUAAUAGGUGAUGUGUGAUAAAAUGAUGAGAGGCCUCGAUGUUGAUGUUGUUGUUUCUGUCAUCUAGCGGAGUAUGGAUGACGACCACGGACUCUUCUAGACAGUCCUGUGGAACACUAGCAGGCUCGCAACCUGUAGGUGUUUGUGAACGAUAUGUUCACCGGUGUACUCCAUCCCCCCCAUGGUUGCCUUUAGGAUAUUUAUUGCUGAGGAUCCACUUAGCAAUAGUGUCCAUCCCAAUGAUGAUCCUUAGGCUAGGUCCCUUAUGAUAGGUGUUUAGGGACGUAAAGUGAGGAUAACGGGAAUGGGUAAUCGGGUUAUUGUUGAUUGAUGAAAUUAAUAAACUUAUUUAUUAUGGUUUGAAAACCCUAUGUGCUCACCAGGCUCCCCAGCCUGACCCACUUGGUUUCUUGUAUUACAGGUAGUGGCGCAUGAGCAUAGAUGUGAUGUUUUGGAUGAGGGAUUACGGAUAUAGGCCUGUAGAUAUGAAAUAAUGUAGUAAGGCUUAUAUUGUACUGUUUAUGCUUUUGAUCUAUAUCGAAAAUGACAUCCAAAGUCUUUUAAUGAAAUACAUUUCUUUGGAAAUGCUUUUGAUAAAUCUUUAUCAUAUUUUGUUUUGGGACAAAUUCCGCAACACUUUUAAUUAAAAUGUUACUCUGAUUUUUAAACAAGGCAUAAACAAAAUCGGUAUUUUCUGGCCGUGAUUUUGGGGAUGUCACACAUACCUUUCAAUUGUUAAAGUAAACAAAUGACAAUCCUUAGAUCUUGAUCUUCUUGGAAGCCUAGCACCACAAUUUUCGUGCCUCUUAUGGAAUCACACCUAAGAGGUAGCAAUAAGGAAACUAUAGAGAGAGGAGUGUAUGGAUGUAAUUUUUGGCCAGGGUUUUUCCAAGUGUAGGGAUGGCCGAAAUUAGGAGCUUGGAGGCUCCUUAAAUAGUCAAGGUAACUUAGCCCCAAAGCUUGGGUUUAAGGGAUAACCCUAGGAUUCCCCUGCUUAGGGCCUAAACAAAUCUGGAAGCCUUAUCCAAGGCCUUGGAUGAAUUCAUUAGGGUUUUCCCGAUGGAUUUCAUCCACCUCCUUCGAGGAGAUUCUGGAACAUUCCUUCUAACUAUUUAAUAAUUGCAAACUAGUCCCUACACUUUAUAAUUAAUACAAUUAACCCCAAAAUUAAUUCCAACUAAUUUUUGGCUAACUAUUAAUUAAAUAUUAUGAUUUCUAAUUAAUAUAUUAUUUUCAUAAAACAUUAAUAAAUCAUUUAUAUUAAUUUAUUAAUCUUAUAAUAAAUUAAUUUCUCCCCUUUCAUUAUAUCCUUGUCCAAUUGCUAGGUUUGAAGGAAACCUAAAAGGACCGUGCUGCCAUCAAUUCAAAGUACAUACCAAUAAUAGUUAUGGGCUUAGACACCUAAUCCAACAGUCUCCCACUUGGAUAAGUCUGUAACUAUAAUUUCUAGUAUUACCUCUAAAUCGAUCAACAAAUUGUUGCUUCCAAAAGCUGCUGCCGAACUCUGACCUAGUCAGUUACGUGUCCUAAGAUAAGUGAUCAUAUAAUAGUUCAUUCUGUAAGAUAUCCCCGGACAUAAGACACGGAAUGUAAUCAAUCUCUUUGUCUAAAAUCUUUGUUUCCCGAUUUCUAAUUUGUGAUGAUAUAGAGCUUCUAUUUGAACAUGUCAAUUUAGCCUUGGCUGGGCCCAACAUAUAAGUGAACACCAAAUCAUCGAGGAGCCCACAUAUAUUGCUUUCCCCGUCAGGAAAAAGGAACGAAUAAACUUUGACUCAUAUUCCUGUAUCUUUUACUUACCAAACCAUACAUGCAAUAGAUUUUAUAACACCAAAGUUACUGAUGCAUUUUCGUAUCACCAAUGCAUAAUCGAUUUGUAAAUUACUACUCAUAUUUCUCUAUUUCAAAAUUAUAAGAUAUUAUCGUCUCAGAAUUACUCGUGAUGAAUUCCAAGAAGUAAUACUCUGUGUGAGGGUUUAUCAAAUACUUAAAUAUCCAGUUCUAAGUACUCAUGAACAUUGCAAAAAUUCUAUUGCUAUGUCUAAGUCCCUUAGAUAAUUUGCAAUCCAAUUCAUGAUAGUCUUAAUUCAUUACUUCCAAAAGUACUAGCGACUGUGGAGUUUGAAUAAUCAUAUUAUUCGGGAAGUAAAACAUGAAAAAUAUGAAACACAAUAACAAACAAUUAACAAAAGGCAGUUAACAAACUCAUAAUGUAACAUCCCAAAAAUAUAGGCCGAAAAUUUCAUUUUUAAAUACGUCAUUAUAAAAACAACAGUGUAAUAAAACAUCCGUAAUAUCAUGUCAUGUCAAAACCAAAGUAGAAAUAAUCAAACGUGUUAUCAUAAAAUAAUAUUAGAGUGUAAUCCCAAAGAUCUCAUGUGCGGAAAACCAUAGUGUGAUGCGCUGCGAUCAAGCCGACUCCUUUCCUUUAAACACGAAGUACCUGAAACCAAAACUAAAAACCGUAAGCACGAAGCUUAGCGAGUUCCCCCAUCAUACCACAUACCAUACGAUCAUAUACCAUACAUAUACUUUUAGGCAUAUCUGGGUUCCCGACCAACCCCUUCGGUCCUCUCGACCGGAUACUGCCUAGCAUACCUGGGUGCUGGCCUCCCCUUCGGUCCUCUCGAGCGGAUAACGGGGACUAUUUCACCCCCUACUACUACCACAUAACACAUACAUCACAUAAUCUAUCUAGCAUGGCUGGGCAUGACCCCCUACUACUACCACANAUAGUAUAAACACAUAAUUCAUAUACUGCCUAGCAUAUCUAGGUGCUGGCUACCCCUUCGAUCCUGUCGACCGGUAAGUGGGGACUAUUUCACCCCUACUACUACCACAUAAUAUCAUAUCACAUAUAUCAUAAUCUGUCUAGCAUAGUUGGGUACUAACCUACCCUUUCGGUCCUCUCGACCGGUAACCGGGGACUAUUUCACCCCCUACUGUCACUAUCACAUAACAUCAUAUCAUGCUAGCACAUAAACAUAACAUGUAGUAGCAAACAUAGACAAUUAUCACAAAGACAAUCAUCUAACAACAACUCCUAUUGGUGGGCCGACAUUGUGUCCGUAGACCCACCUCUACUGGAAGGGAACUCACCUCACACUGCUGAAGUCCCGUAGACAUAAUCCCACACUGCUGAAGUCCCGCAGACUCAACCCCAGCUGCUGGAUGACAGAUUUUCGAUCUGUCAAUAUCAAAACAUAACCCAAUUAAUAAUUGGGCCCCAACACAUAACCAUAAACACUUACUUUGGAUAAUUACAUUACCCCAAGCUAGGCUUAUUCAAGCCCAAGGCCCAAUCCAUAGGCCCAAAGUCAACUAGGAAUCAAAGCCCAACACAAAGCCGAAUUUUCCAAAUUGGGCCUAGGCCUAUACAUGGUCUCAUUCUAAGGCCCAACAUCAUAUACCCAUUAAGGCCCAAACCUUGGCCCAUCUAUGGCCCAAUUUUCCAAAUUAGGCCCAAGCCCCUUACAUGGGCCUUACCCUAGGCCCAUUAAAUUACUCUAGACCAUUUGCUUGAUCUUGGAUAGUCCAUUUAAUAACCCAAAUCAUCAAGGCCCAAUAGAGAGGCCCAACAAUAAACCCAAGUGAAAUUAGGGUUUCACAUAAAAUGAUGAUUAGGGUUAAGUUUCCUACUUAACCCAUUAAUGACUUAAUCCAUUAAGUCCAUUAUCGUUUAGAUUGAUCUUUGCCAAAGUUUAUUAUUUAAUAUCUCAGGUUAAUAAAUAAUUCUUGUGUGUGACCCGAAUUAUUCUUAAAGUUAGGGUUUUAUUGGCAUUAGGGUUUUCCAAUCCAAGUAUUAGCCCAUUUAUCAAUUUGUUGGCCUUUUAUGUCAAUUAGGGCUUUAGGUAGAACAAAUAAACUAGUUCACAUGUUCACAUCUACUUCGUCUAAAUCUACUAUCUCGAGAUGGUCUGAUUUCCUGAAAGACUACUCAUAUUGAUUCAUCAUCGACGAAUCCAGUCCAUUUAUCCCUCUACCUACUACUCAAUUUUCGAUAACUCGAGGCUCCCACUAUAAAACAGGUUCACAGACCUAAUCACCCCUGCAAUUCACUUAUUCUUAGUCGAGGCUCAGGUAAUCCCACUGGGAGUGACUUGUCACAUCCCAAUCAACCAGCUAUUUUGUCCGUACUUGCAACCUGAAACACAAAGGCUAGUACUGCCCAAACACUGAAACUGCCUGAAGCAGUAUGCUGCUACAUAGAUGCUUUCCAAAAUCUAACGAUACCUUCUUGGAAUCUACCUGUUCACCAAUCAUCUAAAAUGUCGGGUUCCUGCCCGGUUGCGGAGCCAAAGGACUCACUACUUAGUCGCCUCACACGACUUCUGAAUGAAAUCCUUCUCUAGAUCUAGUUGCCACUAGUUAUCAUGACACUGUGACUCUACUACUUUAUGAUAUAACCGAUCGGUUCCAUACGUCGAAUCCUGUCAUCUUCAAAUCCAAGGCUGAAAGUGAUUGCUACCUGACCAAUGGUAGCCUUAUCUCACAUGUCCUGAAGCAGUCUGUUGCUUCCCUGAUCUCAUAACUGUAGUGGCGCUCCUGCAGUCCUAUCACUGGCUCAACCAGAUCCAAUCCAUCUGGGUAAUUCCGAAAUCUAAUCCGUGGAUUUCCUUAUCCUUACUGCAACACCCGAACUGGUGGGUACUACCAUUCCUUCUGCGUCCUAACAACGCACUCACACUAUCUACUAACCUAGUGAAUGUUGUGGCUACACUCGCAGUCUGACAACAUUCUAUCAUUAUCUGGCCGCUAGUGAAUGUUACGGCUACCCCUGCAGUCUUACAACACUUUCCAUACUAUCUGACUACUAGUGAAUGCUCCGGCUACCCCCGUAGUCUUACAACACCUUCCAUAUCGGGUCGGACACGCACUCGACCUAACACAUCACUGAACUAGAGUCCUAACCGGAACUCUGACAUGGUUCCCGAAACCUGCUAUCAUGUGACCCCACUGUAUCAGUACGGCACCCAUGCCCAUGAUCAAAGCGUCACAGUAACCCAUGAAAUAAUCUAAAACCUCUGGCAUGGUGAGAAUAAGUGCCUCGCACAACCGCUGUUUGAGAGUCUCGAAGGCUGCCUGCUGCUCAGGCCCCCAACGAAAGGCCACCGACUUCUUGGUCUGUCGGUUCAAAGGAACCUCAAUCUCGGUGAAGUCCCGUAUAAAUCUCCGGUAAUAACCCACUAUACCCAGGGAAUUCCGAAUCUCAGAUGGAGACCUCAGAAUCUCCCACUGCAUCACGGCCUUUAUCUUGGCCGAAUCAACUAGAAUACCCUUCUGGUUGACAAGGUGGCCAAGAGAUUGCACCUUGCGCAACCAGAAAUUAUAGUUUGAGAACUUUAUAAAAAGUCUCUCCCCCACUUAGAUUCGACUAAGUCUUCACAUUACUUAAGAAUUGAAGGGUUCACAAUCCUUCUCGCUUUCUAAUAUCCCACUGAUGACAACCUAUGCCUGCGAAUGCUUACGUUUAAUCGCCGAUUAAACCUUGAGAUCUCCCAUCCUCAGAAGUCUUGAUGAGUACUCUUGAAAUAUGAUCCAGUCUGACACCUCAAUCCAUUUAACAUCCUAUCAAUUGAAGACCUUAAUAUUCACUCUAGCUGACGAAUCCUCGUUCCCACUGCCAAUCUUGCAGUACCACUGAACUCUAACCGAACACAGCCCAUGCGAAAAAAAAUUCUCUUGAACAUCCAGUGACCAACCACUUAUGCAUCUAACACCCGCGACUGACACUACCCUCUUCCUGUCCUAGCAACGGUAGUGCCUUGAACUCUAAAGUUCAUCCAUAAACAAUUACCGACUAUACCUGAACAAUGAUAGAAUCCCUGAACAUUGACUUCGCAUGAAAACUAUCACUCCAACUCUGACCGAGUAUCCUCUAAAUAAUACUCCUGCAUAGAUCUCGACAAGGAUCUGAAAUAAUACUGGUACACGCGGAACCCACUCCGCAAGAUGCGUCCCUCUGUGGGUUCAUCAAGGACCUUUCAGCCUCCAUGAUGGCAUAUAUAAACCUUGAUAACUCAACACUAGUAGAAAAUUGACCCGAGAUCUGACUUAUCCAAACUCACUCGCAAUCCCAAAGCGAUACCUAUUCCAAACAUCCAUCUAAUAGCAGUAGAAGAUGGCAUACCCGCAACAUCUGGAGGAAUCCCAAUCACCUCCAGCUGACAUGAUCAAUCACGCUACCCUGUAGCAGCCUAAACCCUUGGAGUGACAAACUCCCUUGUGUACUUUCUCGUACGCGCUGCUCUGACUCAGGCCUUGCUGGCCUUUCACCCGAUGAUCAAAAGUCAUGGGUCUCUUCCCGGGACCCUCUACUAUAUGCACCUGGCACGCACCUCUCUUUCCAGGGUGCUCCCAAAUCGAUCCCGCAUCUACAACUCUUGGAAUUCAUAUCCUUCAAGGUCUGACACCCUGUCACACUCACUAGCUCGCUUGCCAAAGGAUAAGCUGCAACAACUGGAACAUCCUCUGUCCCCAAACUGGGUCACAAACUCUUCCCUGAAGCUUCUUAGAUUCUCUAAGACUAUCACUGAUUCGAGUAUGGAGCCUGUGCUUUCAGUAGUACGGGCCCAAUACUACCUUCCACACCUAUCCAUACUUUCCUCAGCAAUCCUCCCGAAUCCUCUAAGUCACUUCCUAAAACCGGUACACCCAAGUCUCACUGAGCCUCACUACUAACCCACGGAAACAUAUCCUAGGCUUUCCUAGGUUCCCGAACUCACCUAGUCCUCAGCUGCUGCAAGAUUCCCAGUAAUAUAGCCACAUGAAACAGAGAUCCGAUAAUCCUUCGAGUAAAAUACUCAUCCCUAGAACAGUUAGACUCAAACGAGAUAUGCGCAAUAGGGUCAAAUUUAUCACUCUGAGUUUAUCCAGCCUGUGUCCCAUGUGACUUAGCAUAUUCACUUAACAGUUAGCUCACAUUACUAAGGGUCCCACAAAGCACAAAGCAAGCAACAUUCAGACAAUGGAAAAUCUAACAAUCAUAUUCCAAUCAAAUCAUUCUAUCCUCUAAUCAAGAAUCUAAACAUGCAUUCCAAAGGCUCAUACAACCAGGCAUAACCUAAACAGGCUAUCCUAUCACUAACUGAUCAGUACUAGCAUGCAAGUCUACAAGCACAUACAAUAGGCAUAUAAGGCAUCCUCCUAGAUCCUUAGCCCUAAUCUAGCAUGCAGUUCUCAUAAUCAUAUCAAAUCAUAACAUAACAUGUAUGGGUAUCUUAGGGAAAACUUACUUGGGCUCGGCUGAUUGCACGCAUCACACACCUCGUUCUUCUCAAAGUUCUUUUCUCUUUUCAGAUUCUUUUCAAACUCCUUUUUAUAAAAUGGUUUUACUUUUGAAAAUUUUCAUACCAACCCUUAGUUUGAGUUCAGACACACCCGAGAGUAUGUCCGAAUCCCUCAAACCAAGGCUCUGAUACCAACUUGUAACAUCCCAAAAAUACAGGCCAAAAAAUUCAUUUUAAAUACGUCAUUAUAAAACCAACAGUGUAAUAAAACAUCUGUAAUAUCAUGUCAUGUCAAAACCAAAGUAGAAAUAAUCAAAUGUGUUAUCAUAAAAUAAUAUCAGAGUGUAAUCCCAAAGAUCUCAUGUGCGGAAAACCAUAGUGUGAUGCGCUGCGAUCAAGCCGGCUCCUUUCCUUUAAACACGAAGUACCUGAAACCAAAACUGAAAAUCGUAAGCACGAAGCUUAGUGAGUUCCUCCAUCAUACCACAUACCAUACGAUCAUAUAAGAUAUAUAUACUUUCAGGCAUAUCUGGGUGCCCGACCUACCCCUUCGGUCCUCUCGACCGGAUACUACCUAGCAUAUCUGGGUGCUAGCCUCCCCUUCGGUCCUCUCGACCGGAUACUGCCUAGCAUACCUGGGUGCCGGGCUCCCCUUCGGUCCUCUCAACCGGUAACCGGGGACUAUUUCACCCCCUAACACUACCACAUAAAAGCAUAGCAUAAACACAUAAGUCAUAUACUGCCUAGCAUAUCUGGGUGCUGGCUACCCCUUCGGUCCUGUCAACCGGUAUGUGGGGACUUUUUCACCCCUACUACUACCACAUAAUAUCAUAUGACAUAUAUCAUAAUCUUUCUAGCAUAGUUGGGUACUAAUCUACCCCUUCUGUCCUCUCGACUGGUAACCGGGGACUAUUUCACCCCCUCCUACCACUAUCACAUAACAUCAUAUCAUGCUAGCACAUAAACAUAACAGGUAGUAGCAAACAUAGACAAUUAUCACAAAGACAAUCAUCUAACAACAACUCCUACUGGUGGGCCGGUAUUGUGGCCGUAGACCCACUUCUACUAGAAGGUAACUCACCUCACACUGUUGAAGUCCCGUAGACAUAAUCCCACAUUGCUGAAGUCCCGCAGACUCAACCCCAACUGCUGGAUGAUAGAUUUUCGAUCUAUCAAUAUCAAAACAUCACCCAAUUAAUAAUUGGGUCCCAACACAUAACCAUAAACACUUACUUUGGAUAAUUACAUUACCCCAAGCAUGGCUUAUUCAAGCCCAAGGCCCAAUCCAUGGGCCCAAAUUCAACUAGGAAUCAAAGCCCAACACAUGGCCCAAUUUUUCAAAUAGGGCCUAGGCCUAUACAUGGUCUCAUUCUAAGGCCUAACAUCAUAUACUCAUUGAGGCCCAAACCUUGGCCCAUCUAUGGCCCAAUUUUCCAAAUUGGGCCCAAGCCCCUUAUAUGGGCCUUACCCUAGGCCCAUUAAAUUACUCUAGUCCAUUUGCUUGAUCUUGGAUAGUCCAUUUAAUAACCCAAAUCAUCAAGGCCCAAUAGAAAGGCCCAACAAUAAACCCAAGUGAAAUUAGGGUUUCACAUAAAAUGAUGAUUAGGGUUAAGUUUCCUACUUAAACCAUUAAGGACUCAAUCCAUUAAGUCCAUUAUCGCUUAGAUUGAUCUUUGCCAAAGUUUAUUAUUUAAUAUCUCAGGUUAUUAAAUGAUUCUUGUGUGUGACCCGAAUAAUUCUUAAAGUUAGGGUUUUAUUGGCAUUAGGGUUUUCCAAUCCAAAUAUUAGCCCAUUUAUCAAUUUGUUGGCCUUUUAUGUCAAUUAGGGCUUUAUUGGGCCUACUAAGCCCGCUAAAAUAUUAUUAAGCCCGUUAGGGUUUUAUUGGGUCCAUUAGAGUCCAUUAAGCUUCAUUGGGCCCAUUAGAGCUCCUUUGAGCCUAUUAGGGUUUCUAGCACCCCAAACGAAUCAAUCUCACAAGGCAAGCACACCGCCACCCGACACGGCGGCCGGUGGCGGCAGNUGGUGGUGGUUUUCAGUUUUCUUUUUAUUAUUCCAGUUUGCAAUUACACUUUACAAUGCUAAAUCUCGAAAACACACACACCUACUAACACACACGCAAAAACACGGUGGUGCAUGGUGGCAGCCACCACCUCACGGUGGUGGUGGUGGUGGCUAUACUUGAUUUUCUGGCCAAACUAACACCAUACACACACAUCCACCGAGGAAACAGAAGCACACCCAUCCAUACUUCUGGUUGAAUCACCCAGCCACCCUCUUGGUAACAUACGACGACAGCAGCGGCCAUUUAACGGUGACAGCCACCAUGGCUGGCUGCCAUGGUGGUUCUCACGACCCUAACACAACAAAUCUCCCCCACAGCGCGUUCACAUCGCAAACACAAGACCUGAAUCAUGCCCUUAUUCUCCGGUGAUAGCAAGAACGCCACGAGCUCCCCCACCCAUGAGGCGGCAGACGACGGGGUAAAUAGAAAAGAUCAAGAUGAAUAGCAAUUGAGAUGGCUACAACAGCCGUGGUGGUCGAUUUGAGUCCUCAUCCACAGUGGCGGCACCGGCUGGACAAGAUUGCGGCCUUGCCGAUCUUCACAGCCACCAGCGGCGGUAGCUUGGCAGGGCUCGCGAUUCCAACUAUGGCUCGGAGGCGAUUUGAUGGGUCUUCCGCAAGUCACAGGUUCAUCGGCACUUGUCGGGGAAGCAUCUUCGGUGAUAGCAGCGGCGUCACGGCGGCUAGAAGGUGGCAAUCAAAGAUUGAAGGCGGAGAGGGUGACGGCCGACCAUAGAGAGAAGGAAAAGUGACGGCUGCUCCAAUAUUUAGGGUUAGGGUUGAUUCUCAGUGACGUUGGGGUUAUAUACCCAAAUUUACAAACUUUCUCCCAUAACGACAUAUAUAGUCCCUCCUUUCAGAAAUAUUUUUGAAAUAAACCCCAUAUUUACCUUUUUAGCCCCCAGUCUUAAAAUUCCUUACAAUUUGAGUAUAAUACUUACCAAACAACCCCCUUCUCUUCAAGAUCUUUUAAAAUAAGGUCCAUAUGUUACUAUUUUAACCCCCACUCUCUUAAAGUGUGUCAAUUAGCUCCUCGAGACCAACCUUUGACAUAUAAUUAUUUAUUUUAAGGCUUCAAUUCGUUCAUUAAUUUAUUUAUUUAUUAAAUAAUAAACGGAGUGUUACACAUAAAUAAUACUUUAUUAUUUAAUCACCAAAAGUCAAUUACAUCUACUUUGUUACACGUUUCAAAAUAAACUAAUAUACUACCUCCGUCCCAAUUUAAUAGUCCACUUUUGACUUUUGAAGUCUUUUUUCUUUAAUUUUGACCUUAAAUAUUUUUGUUUUUGAUAAAUAAUACUUAAUGCAAAAUAUAUGAAUAUAUUGUAUUUUAAAUCUUUUUUCAAUGUUAUAAGUUUUAUCAAGUAAUAUAUAACACAAAUAAAAAUAUUUACGGUCAAAGUUGAAGAAAAAAGACUUGAAAAGUCAAAAGUGGACUAUUAAUUUGGGACAGAGGGAGUAAUUGCUAAAACUAAUAUCAUCUCUCAGUCCAAUGCUCUAAGCAUGUUGAAUAUGCUUAACCCUACUUAGACCCUUUGUGAGAGGGUUUUCUGGGUUAUCUUCAUAUGAUACCCUCUUUACGUCAAAAUGGCCUUCUUCUACUAUGUGUAUGAUAAAAUGGUACUUUCUAUCGAUAUGUCUGGUUUUACCAUUGACUCUGGGUUCCUUUGUUAAGGUAGCCACCCCUUCAUUAUCAAAGAAUAGUUCCAUAGGCUCCUGAAUGGUUGGAACAACUCCGAGAUCUCCGAUGAAUUUCUUCAACAAAGCUGCUUCUUUUGACGCAUCACUCACUACUAUGUACUCUAAUUCACAAGUAGAAUCAGCCACCAUAUCUUGCUUGGAACUUUUCCGAGUAACUGCUCCUUUGUUCAGUAGAAAUACCCAGCCAGAUUUAGAACAGAAGUUGUGCCUAUCCAUUAGGAAGUUGGCAUCACUAUAACCAUCUACUCUCAAAGUAUCUCUGCCACCAAGUACAAGGACCCAAUCCUUUGUCAUUCAUAAGUACUUGAGUAUAUUCUUAACCGCUAUCCAAUGAUCUCUAACCAGAUUUCCCUGAUAACGGUUGACCAUGCUCAAAGCAAAGGACACAUCAGGGCGAGUACAUGUCAUAAUGUACAUGAUUGAUCUGAUAGUGGAAGCAUAAGGCACACGACUCAUGUCAGCUAUUUCCUCAUCUGUACUUGGACAUUGAGUCUUACUCAAUUUCGUAUUGCCCUAGAUAGGUAGCCCUCCUUUCUUGGAAUUUUCCAUACUAAACCUCUUUAGUACCUUGUCCAAGUAUGUACUCUGACUAAUUCCAAUUAGUCUCUUCUUCCUAUCUCUCAAUAUUCUAAUCCCAAGAAGAUAGGCAGCUUCUCUAAGGUCUUUCAUGGAAAAACACUUUCCAAGCCAAGACUUAACAUCUUUAAAGGUCGGAACGUCGUUACCAAUGCGUAAUUUGUCAUUGACAUAUAACACUAGAAAAGUUACUAUACUCCCACUAGCCUUGAUAUACACACACGACUCAUCUUCACUCCUAGAGAAAUGAAACUCUUUAACUUUCUCAUGGAAGCAAACAUUCCAACAACGAGAUGCUUGUUUCAAUCCAUAAAUAUAUUUCUCAAGCUUGCACACUUUAUUGGGAAACUUUGCAUCAACAAAACCCUCUGAGUUAUUCAUGUAAACAUCCUCAGCCAACAUCUCGUUAAGGAAAGCAGUCUUGACAUCCAUCUACCAUAUUUCAUAGUCAUGAAAGGCAGCUAUGGCGAACAAUAUCCUAAUAGAUUUAAUCUUAGCUACCGGUGAGAAAGUCUCAUCAUAGUCAACCCCCGGGGUUUGAGUGAAACAUUUUGCAACCAGUUGAGCCUUGAAUGUGUGUAUAUUUCCAUCCAUGCCGGUCUUCUUAUUGAAGAUCGACUUGCACUGUAACGCCCGUAGAUCCAGGCUAGUCAAUUUAUAGAUAAUAGGGGUCGAAAACGAUUUUUAGACAAAAGAUUAUUUAGAAUAAAUAAUCUUAACCAAGUUGUAUAAUAUGUCUCAAGGGUUCCGUACAUAUAAAGAACGUCGUGAUCCGAGUUAUAACAAAGAAGUUAUGGCGCGUCGAAGUUUUACGGCAAAACCGGCACACCACCAGGAAAAGUAAAUAGUGAAUUUACGAUAGAGGACUUUUUAUCCUUAGUGAUCUAAAGCAAAGUUGUGGUAUAAAUUAAACCGAGAACAUCCAUAAAAAGAACGCCCAAAUCUGACUUCGUAUGAGGAAGUUAUGAUUUUUCUAAGAUUCGGCUUAGCAGUGUACAGCCCGAAACUCGAAUUUUAGUUCGAGCGGUUUUUGGAUUACACAACCUUACUGAGAGUUGAAGAUAUCAUUAAUAGGAACUCAAUGGUAAAAACAUAGACGAAAACGGAGUUCGUAUGAAGAAGUUAUGAAUUUUACGCAGACAUUUAACAGUAUAAUCUCCUCCUACUGUUAAAUUUAAGAUCGGUUGAGAAUCAGCCGACGGAGUUUAAAUGAGAGUUGUAGAUCUUAUUUUUACGUAUGUGUGGAUAUAAAGAACGUUGAAAACGGAGUUCGUAUGCGAAAGUUAUGAAUUUUUGAAAAUCGGCUUAUUUCCACCCUGUGUGCGUCGCCACGUGUCAGCACCAGGCGAAAACAUGGAGCCUACGCAACACCACAACGUGGUGAGGUGCAACACGACGUGGUGAUGCCCAUGGUGGCCCAUAAAUAGAGGCUCAAGGCUGCCUGUUUUUCUCACACCUUUCCCCACUUCUUUCUCUCUCUAUACUCUCUCUCUCUCUCUCUCUCUCUCUCUCUCUCUCUCUCUAAGCCCUAAAACCCCCAAAAAAGCCUAGGGAACCCCUAACAUGAGGCGGAAGCCCCGGAGCGCCUGACGGCUCCGAAAUGAAGAGCCUUCGGUUCAGAAACUCUGCUCUGGCAGAGCCCGGUUUCCAUGAAAACCUGCUGUAAGUGAGCGAUACCUACCUUAUCUUUAGUAUAGCUUAUGUUUUAAUAUAGUAACGUUAUUAGGAACUUAUAAUGAGUAUUUGGGCUAUUAUUAUGAGUUAUAUACGAGUGUUUCUUAACGCUUAUAUAAUAGUGAUAAUAUCUAUACUAUUGAUUAGUCGUGGUUAACAUUAUACUAAACUCUAGUGGUAAUAAUACUAGGUUUUGUCCGUGUGAAAUUGUUUUAACAGUAACGAAGUGUUGUCCGAGUACCGAUUCAUCACCUUAUCAGGUGAGUGCAUGGUCCAUUUCCACUUACACAUAGAUAUGAAGUAUUUUAUAUAAAUUACAUGCUAUGUGUGCAUAUUAUCUGAAUACUUGCUGUCUAUGUUGGAUGAACGAUUUUAUACAUCUUUUAAAUGAUUUAAACUGUAUAUGUAUUUUAUAUCUACGAUAAUGUUGGGGUAAAACAUGGGUAGAUGUAAUAGAUGGAACAUGAGUGGAUGAUGAGUUGAGAAGUGUUAUAGACCACGAGGUGAGGGUGAGAGGUAGACGAUGUGAGAAGCCUUUUCCCAAACGAUGGCCCCGUCAUUCAGCAGAGUAUGGAUGACAACCACGGACUAUUCUAGAAAGUCCAGUGGAACACUAGCAGGCUCACAACCUGUAGGUGUUGUGAACGAGGUGUUCACCCGGUGUACUCUAAACCUAGGUGAUCAUGCAGACUUGAUGCCUAAACCCUGGUGAUCAUGCAGACUUGAUACCUAAACCCUGGUGAUCAUGCAGACUUGAUGCCUAAACCCUGGUGAUCAUGCAGACUUGAUACCUAAACCUUGGUGAUCAUGCAGACUUGAUGCCUAAACCCUGGCGACUAUGCAGACUUAGUGCCCGUUGUGUAAACCGUGGCAACGAUGGACUUUGUGCCGAUUCCUUAGGAUGAUCCUUAGGAAUGAGUGAACGAGAAAUAGCUGAUUCAUAGGGUAGAUCCUUAAGAGUAAAGAAGAUAAUGGGGAUGGGUAAUUGGGUUUAAUUGUUUGAUUGUUUAAACAUAAUAAUUAUAUUAUUGUGGGUUGAAAACCCUAUGUACUCACCAGGUUUCCCAACCUGACCCACUCAGUUUAUUUAUAUCACAGGUGUCGAUAUGAAGUGACAUUACACUGAGAGAUUAUGGAGAUAUAGAUCACUAGUUUAAAUGAAUGUAAUAUCUGUUUAUGCUUAUGCUUAUGUAUUGACGAUGACAUCCCAGAUGUUUUAAAAUGAAUAAAAUAUGUUUCUUCGAAAAUACUUUGAUAACGUAUUUAUCGUGUUUUUCUGGGAAUAAAUUCCGCAACAUUUUUAUUAAAAGAGGUACUAUGAUUUUCAUAAAGCAUAAACAAAAUCGGUCUUUUCUGGCCGUGAAAAUAGGGAUGUCACAGUUGGUAUCAGAGCAUUAGUUUAAGCGAACUAGGAAUAUGGAUUUAUUUCUAGACUUAAACUUAGAAUGCUAAGCGAUGAUUGUGAGGUGUGAGCACUAGCUUAUUUUAGGAAUUGUGCCUAAAAUGCUUUUAUGUGCUAAAUGCUUUGUGCCUUAUAUGAUGUUAUUUAUUCGGAUCUAUGGUCUGUUGCCGACCGGAUCUGGAAACCUUAUGUGUUUAGGAUUCUAAACGUACGACUACGAUAUUAGAACUAGCAUGUAAACGUUUCGGAGUGAUAAGGACG
rnacentral:lncRNA from 1 species